AAGUUAAAAUAAAAAGAGUACAUGGCUUCCCGAAAUAACCUUAAUGGGCUAAUAGGACUGGGCAGCCAUCCUUACUGAUUUAAAGUGAUCAUUUAUUUGGGUCAAAUAAGAAGAGAAAAUAAGAAAAAGACAUGCAGGAGCGCACACACACAACACACACACACACAAAAGGACUAAUUACACAUACAGCUGCAGAUUGAGAGAAAAAUAGUUGAAUAACACAAUGUACUAGUUAUAUACAGAGUUACAGAAAAGAAUCGUUUUGUCUUUUUAACGAAGUCUUCCUUUAUAGCUUGUAAAAUCUGCUUCUAUGUAGAGGAAAUACACUCAGUAGGCUCUACCCUCACAAUUAUUUUCCUUUUCUGCAAGGUGGGUAAGAAUUAAAACACGAGUGCUUUGAGACACAAGAAGAGCACGAGUUUGUCAGUCGCAUGAGAUUAGUAAGUUUCGAUCUGUCGGUAAAAUUAGGUCGUUCUGUUCAGUUCGUCAGUUAUGUUAUACCAUUUGAUAUCUUAUUUGUCAACCAGGCGAGGAAGACCAUGAGCACAGCAGUAAGACCAGCACUUACAAACACGGUAGCCAAGAUGGCACUGUGAUUGGCGAGGAGGACCAUGAUCACAGCGAUAAGACAAGCACUCAUAAACACCGCAACCAAGACGGGACUGUGAUUGGCGAGGAAGACCAUGAGCGCAGCAGUAAGACUAGCUCUUACAAAGACUACAACCAAGAUGACGCGGAGGUUCGAGCAGUUGGCCCCCAGAUGGUUUUUAAUAAUCCUAACCAGCCAUGCUACACUCAAUUCUUUGCAGGUGGACAACAACCAACAGGUCUCCGAACUGGCCAAAACUUACAGAAUAUAAGGUACAUCUGCCAAAUGGUGAAUCAGCAGACUUACUAUGGGACCAUGUUUGACCAAGCUCUCGGUAUUGCUGUGUUUUCGGCCUAUACGUUAACUCAAGCAAACGCGAAUUUUCCGAAUCGACCACGACCUACACGAUGGACACAAACGCCAGGUAGCCACAGCUUAGCGAUUUAUAAAAUAAGACAGUGACGAUCACAAUUAGGUAAUUCACUGAAGGUUAAUCCACGGACAAACAAUGGGAGAUAGCUGUCGGCUAUCCCAAGGGGCACUUCCCAAUUUUUUUGACGGGGCUGUGCGGCCGGAAACUUGAAACCUGUACUCUAUUUCAGACUAAAAUCUGUGAUUUUCCAUACUCAGUCUCAGACCUGAGCGAAACAUCAAUACCUCAUUUCAGACCUCUAUAAAAAUUGCACGAGUUUAAUUAAUAUAUGACCGCAGCUGACAUGAAAUGGCUUCUAUAAACAUUUGAAAAGGGCUACAAAUUUGCCAAUGUUGAUGCGGAAAAAAGAAAGUUGGGAU
rnacentral:misc_RNA from 1 species